UUAAUUAAGAUUGAGCUCUUGUUAGGAUGAUUUGUUUCAAAGGACGGGAACAUAAUCACCUAGUUAUAUUUUUGGUUAGUAUUUUGAUCAAACUUGUUGAAGCAAUUCAAAAACAUUGGAUAUAGCAAUUAUAAAGGGUGAAUGUACCUGGCAGUUCUUUUUAUAUUCUGAUCAAAUUAGUUCUUCUACUAUUAAAUAAAUCAAAUUAGUUCCUAUAUUAUUAAAAAAAAUCAAAUAAAACCAAAUUUCGAAAGAAUUAACAAAUACCAUUUAAAAAAUGUCAUUUAGACCUUGUAUUAGUAAGGGUUGAAAUUUUUUAAAUAUUAAAUGUUAAUUUUGUUGCACUUUAACUUUAUUUUAUUCUUUUUAAUAUUCAAGGGAUUAGAUUAAUACAUUUAAUAAUAGAGGACUCAUUUGAUCCAAAUCCUAUAAUGGAGAGACUAGACAUGUACUUUCACCAAUUAUGAAGACAUUUUAUUGCUUCUGGUGGCUUGAUAUUGGUAUAGGGUGAUUGCAGGUAAUUUGGAUGAUUGGGUGUCUGCCUCGCCACCCUUUAAAGGGAUGCUGCUGAUGCAGAGAUGCCAUCUGCUUUCUGAUAUUUGGAUCCACAUAAAAGCCAUCAUAAAGAAAAGCUUCAAUGGCUGCAAGCUGUUUGAUUCAAUAAAGGUUCACUUUAUUACAGUCUUGAAGAUGCGUUUCCAUGGUCCUCCGGCCUUUUUGCCGGGUAUCAAGGUGGUUGGUGGCAGUUGCAAAACGUUUCUUCGAGCAAUUUUAUUUGUAAAAUCAUUACCUAUUUGCGAUUGAAAAUUGGGCCUAAUUCAUUCUGGUGUUGCAAUUGAAAAUGGUCCCAACUUGCAAAAUGUAUACAAGAAAAAUAUGAUGAAAAAUAUGAAGACCAUCAAACUAUGAGCACAGCAGGAAAUAGAGUCUACCAAGCUUAGGGGUUUGCCAUUCAAAGCAAUUUAUCAUGAAUAACAAAUGGAAAGUAUGUCACGAACCCAAAAUUUCAUAUGGAUAGGCAACCUAAAGAACACAAUACUUUGUACACAAUAAACACUAAAAUCAAGUGAACGCGUGACUGCUACCACAAACUAAACAUAUGUGACCAUGAAAUAAUAAAUAAGUUGACAUAAAUAGUUUUGAUCAACCUCCUAUUUUAAAAGCUUAGACCUGAGCAGUGCCUUAAGUGAACUUUGGGUCCUCACAUCUAUAUCGGCCAUCAGGUCCAAUUACAGAACCUUUUGGAUCUGCAAAUACAUUUUGGUGCAGCUGGCUUUGAGGAGGAACAGGGCUUUCUUCUGCAAACUCAACGGCUUCCCCUACCACCUCAUCUAUCUUUUAUCUAUAGCCUUCAAGUCUGCUUCAUUAGCCAGACUGUUUUCAAUGAGGUAUUUUUUCAGUGCUGUGAUGGGAUCUCUGGCAGCAUAGUGAGCUUUCUCAGCUGCCAA
rnacentral:lncRNA from 1 species